AACGAACGCUGGCGGCAUGCCUAACACAUGCAAGUCGAACGAGACCUUCGGGUCUAGUGGCGCACGGGUGCGUAACGCGUGGGAACCUGCCCUUAGGUUCGGAAUAACUCCCCGAAAGGGGUGCUAAUACCGGAUAAUGUCUUCGGACCAAAGAUUUAUCGCCUUUGGAUGGGCCCGCGUUGGAUUAGCUAGUUGGUAGGGUAAAAGCCUACCAAGGCGACGAUCCAUAGCUGGUCUGAGAGGAUGAUCAGCCACACUGGGACUGAGACACGGCCCAGACUCCUACGGGAGGCAGCAGUGGGGAAUAUUGGAGGAUGGGCGAAAGCCUGAUCCAGCAAUGCCGCGUGAGUGAUGAAGGCCUUAGGGUUGUAAAGCUCUUUUACCCGGGAUGAUAAUGACAGUACCGGGAGAAUAAGCUCCGGCUAACUCCGUG
rnacentral:rRNA from 1 species